CUGACACUAAGUGACAGGCUGCGGUUGUUAGUUAGCAGUCCAGCUAAGUCCAAUUUGUGCAUUAUGAUGUAGUCCUUUUUAGGUUUUUGUUUUCCAGUAGAAUAUUAUAUUAGAAAUCCCUACUAUAUGUGAAGUGCACUGGUGAUGAACAUAGUAAUUGUAGCUAAUUCUACGUUAACAACAAUAGGGAGAAGAGCGCUCGGCGGAAAUGGAGUCUCGAGAGAAAGCAAGACCAAGAUGGGUGUCAGGAGUGGGGCAGCAGUAUUAUCACAAGGAGACGUAUACUUGGAAAACGGAGGAGGAAUGGAGGGAAAAAGAGAGGGCUUGUGUCGGAUAAAAAUUGUGGGAAAGGGGAGAUGGUGGUUACGUCCCAUCCUUUCAGGGUGAUGGCAUGAUGUAGGAAUAAAUACAUUUAAUUAGUGGAGUAGGGUGGUGUUCAUUUAAUUUUAUAUCAUUUUGAAAUUAGUGAGUGUAGUGUUAGAUGGUAGGGUAUUUAUUUAGUACAUUUGUAUUUUUCAAGCAUAGUAUAAUGGAGUUGUACUCCAGUCUAGUAGGUGGCGGUAAUGAAACAAAUUGGAUGUCAACCGCUGUUAAACCUCAGAAGAAGUAAACAACAAUAUGUCUGGACCAAAUGGAGAUCCUAACAUCUCAACUGAUGAUGGCAUCACCGACAAUGAAGAUGAAUUCAGAGUAUGUAGCCAUCAACACUGCUGGAUCAGAUCAACUCCUGCCUGGAGGAACGCAACGACUCACUGAAUGACCAACUACAUGAACUGUUGGAAUCUAACUGGCAGGCCUGGCAGGAGUUCAGCUGAGCACCGCUACACCCCCAGGAGAGGAUCAACAGUCCCCGGGCAAGGAUUCUCCAGCCUCUGAAAGGGAGAAGGGCGAAGAGGAUAAAGCUGGACUACUUAACAUUCCACCUACCAAUAUGAGCAUCUUUCCUUUUCUCAAGUGUUCAUGUGGUAACACUUAAGAGUGAUAUUAUUUUCUCUGUCCCUUUCAUGUAGCACUUAUGAACCCUCCACUAAACUAUAUAGUUUUAAUCGAUACACAGCUGUUGAACUUUUAAGAUGGUUCCUGCUUAGUUAAGUAAAAGAGCCAAAAGCUGAGUACAUUCUGUGUUGAAGUGACUGGUUUAUGCCACCAUCACCACUUACGAUGUAUACCAAUGUUUCAGCUUAGCUGUCCGUAUAGUCCUCAAUUGCCCCCAUGAUUAGUACUUAUUUAUCCAUGUGCUUGGUGUGGGGUGUAAAGCAUGCAGAAUACACUGUGAUUCAUGUAAUAACUGGGGUGUAUUCAUUUUGCCGAAUUGGUUUGUUCCAAAAUGUUUUGCAACGAAAACAAGUUUCUAUUGCACAAAUUCAGGUAGGUCCCUCCCUGUUUCAUUUGCUAUGUUUGGCUCUAAGGUGGUAAACAGUUUCUAUUGUAAGAUGUAAUGAACACAGGUGGCAAAGCAGCUAAGUUAACCUCUAUGGGGUAAUACUACAAAUCAUAUUUGAGCUUUGAUUGGUCAAUAUUUUUCUGUGACAUGCAAGAGAAUGUGUUUGUUUCAGUUUUUCCUUGUCAGAUUUAAAACAGUAUAUUGAAUGUGUUACUGUUAAUUAUCUGAGUGUGACAUCUUGAAUCACUAACGUCAAGAACUAGCUCUUUAAAACAAUGCGAUAUUCAAUAAUCACAGGGAGGCAAUUGUCAAAUUUUAUUAUAAAUUAAAAUGACCCCAAUACAGAAAACAUCCCAAAAUACAUGAAACUUCCAGCUGCUAGAAAACACUCUUGUUCAUCGGUUUGUCAUUUGUAGAAUAAAAAUACAUUAAGAAACAUACAGCUGUUUGAAAUGUCACAUAAAUGACCCUUUCUGUCAUGCUCUGGUCCUGUAUAAUAUUUCAGUGGGACACAAACCAGAGACAAGACAAAUGAGCUUGCUUUCAUCAAAGCCAAUAUGGGUUUGUUUACACAGUUAGCCCAAUUGAUCUAAUUGGUAUUUUGACUAAGAACAUCUCAGAAAAAAACAUCUGAAAAUUGGGCUGCCUGUGUAAACAGUCUAUGCAUCUGCUCUUCCGCUGUACAAGUGAACUAAUAACAACUGCCCAUUCACUGAAAGCAUCAGUAUCAUCUGGGAGAGACUUAUUCCUUACAUGUUCCUUGAAAAAAAAUAGUGGCUGUGAUUGGGGACUCUUAACUGGAGUGCUACAUUACUUGAUUCGGUCUUAUGUAGUUCUGUCUAUAACUUAUGAACAAUUAUCCUAUAUUCAGGUGUCCUCUCACCAAGAGGCCAGUGACAAAUGGUUAUCCACGUCUCGUCAAUUAAAUAGAUCACAAUCUGGUGAAUCAUUCAAUUUCUUCUGUUGGUGUACUUCAAAAUCAGAACUGCUGGUUCUCAGCUUCUGAAACUUUUAGACUGCUACACAUUUAUUACCACUAGGGAAAAUACACUUCCUUCUCUGUGUCUGAAGCCAAGAGAUUUUCCUGAGCAGUUAGAUUACCCCGCUGAGGUCUCAUGAUUAUGAAAAACUCCAAGUCAUAUAAAAUUGAUUAAUUUCAUUAUUGUUGAUAUUAAUGUUACUAAUUUGUAAGGUGACAACUCUGCCAUGCAAUGUUUGUACAGACAAUUCUACUUAAUGACUAUGGCUGCAUUUGGACAUCCAGCCCAAUUCUGGUCUUUUGACCAAUCAGA